GUAUGUGAUGGUGACUGAACUGUAACAUCUGCCAUCCCAAUAAUCACCAGUGCCUAUUUGGAUUAUCUUGCUUGUAGAUCCGUGUUCCUUUCCUCUGUCGCUGCUCCACAUAUACCUCUCCAAAAGCAGCACAAAUGGUAGAAGACAUCCUUAACUGCUGGUGGAGGGACAGUCUUUGGUCAAGGGUAUCUGAGUAGCUGUGCUCAGCUCUCAAGAUCCCAAAACAGAAUAGAGAGUCAAGAGAUGAAGAGUAUUUUGCCAUCUUCUCCAGAAUAAGUAAUAACAUUUGAGAGG
rfam:Mesocricetus auratus contig190610, whole genome shotgun sequence.